rnacentral:rRNA from 1 species
AUUGAACGCUGGCGGCAGGCCUAACACAUGCAAGUCGAACGGUAACAGGAAGCAGCUUGCUGCUUUGCUGACGAGUGGCGGACGGGUGAGUAAUGUCUGGGAAACUGCCCGAUGGAGGGGGAUAACUACUGGAAACGGUAGCUAAUACCGCAUAACGUCGCAAGACCAAAGAGGGGGACCUUAGGGCCUCUUGCCAUCGGAUGUGCCCAGAUGGGAUUAGCUAGUAGGUGGGGUAACGGCUCACCUAGGCGACGAUCCCUAGCUGGUCUGAGAGGAUGACCAGCCACACUGGAACUGAGACACGGUCCAGACUCCUACGGGAGGCAGCAGUGGGGAAUAUUGCACAAUGGGCGCAAGCCUGAUGCAGCCAUGCCGCGUGUAUGAAGAAGGCCUUCGGGUUGUAAAGUACUUUCAGCGGGGAGGAAGGGAGUAAAGUUAAUACCUUUGCUCAUUGACGUUACCCGCAGAAGAAGCACCGGCUAACUCC